rnacentral:rRNA from 1 species
GGGUUGUGAGGUUAAGCGACUAAGCGUACACGGUGGAUGCCCUGGCAGUCAGAGGCGAUGAAGGACGUGCUAAUCUGCGAUAAGCGUCGGUAAGGUGAUAUGAACCGUUAUAACCGGCGAUUUCCGAAUGGGGAAACCCAGUGUGUUUCGACACACUAUCAUUAACUGAAUCCAUAGGUUAAUGAGGCGAACCGGGGGAACUGAAACAUCUAAGUACCCCGAGGAAAAGAAAUCAACCGAGAUUCCCCCAGUAGCGGCGAGCGAACGGGGAGGAGCCCAGAGCCUGAAUCAGUGUGUGUGUUAGUGGAAGCGUCUGGAAAGGCGCGCGAUACAGGGUGACAGCCCCGUACACAAAAAUGCACAUGCUGUGAGCUCGAUGAGUAGGGCGGGACACGUGGUAUCCUGUCUGAAUAUGGGGGGACCAUCCUCCAAGGCUAAAUACUCCUGACUGACCGAUAGUGAACCAGUACCGUGAGGGAAAGGCGAAAAGAACCCCGGCGAGGGGAGUGAAAAAGAACCUGAAACCGUGUACGUACAAGCAGUGGGAGCACGCUUAGGCGUGUGACUGCGUACCUUUUGUAUAAUGGGUCAGCGACUUAUAUUCUGUAGCAAGGUUAACCGAAUAGGGGAGCCGAAGGGAAACCGAGUCUUAACUGGGCGUUAAGUUGCAGGGUAUAGACCCGAAACCCGGUGAUCUAGCCAUGGGCAGGUUGAAGGUUGGGUAACACUAACUGGAGGACCGAACCGACUAAUGUUGAAAAAUUAGCGGAUGACUUGUGGCUGGGGGUGAAAGGCCAAUCAAACCGGGAGAUAGCUGGUUCUCCCCGAAAGCUAUUUAGGUAGCGCCUCGUGAAUUCAUCUCCGGGGGUAGAGCACUGUUUCGGCAAGGGGGUCAUCCCGACUUACCAACCCGAUGCAAACUACGAAUACCGGAGAAUGUUAUCACGGGAGACACACGGCGGGUGCUAACGUCCGUCGUGAAGAGGGAAACAACCCAGACCGCCAGCUAAGGUCCCAAAGUCAUGGUUAAGUGGGAAACGAUGUGGGAAGGCCCAGACAGCCAGGAUGUUGGCUUAGAAGCAGCCAUCAUUUAAAGAAAGCGUAAUAGCUCACUGGUCGAGUCGGCCUGCGCGGAAGAUGUAACGGGGCUAAACCAUGCACCGAAGCUGCGGCAGCGACGCUGAUGCGUUGUUGGGUAGGGGAGCGUUCUGUAAGCCUGCGAAGGUGUGCUGUGAGGCAUGCUGGAGGUAUCAGAAGUGCGAAUGCUGACAUAAGUAACGAUAAAGCGGGUGAAAAGCCCGCUCGCCGGAAGACCAAGGGUUCCUGUCCAACGUUAAUCGGGGCAGGGUGAGUCGACCCCUAAGGCGAGGCCGAAAGGCGUAGUCGAUGGGAAACAGGUUAAUAUUCCUGUACUUGGUGUUACUGCGAAGGGGGGACGGAGAAGGCUAUGUUGGCCGGGCGACGGUUGUCCCGGUUUAAGCGUGUAGGCUGGUUUUCCAGGCAAAUCCGGAAAAUCAAGGCUGAGGCGUGAUGACGAGGCACUACGGUGCUGAAGCAACAAAUGCCCUGCUUCCAGGAAAAGCCUCUAAGCAUCAGGUAACAUCAAAUCGUACCCCAAACCGACACAGGUGGUCAGGUAGAGAAUACCAAGGCGCUUGAGAGAACUCGGGUGAAGGAACUAGGCAAAAUGGUGCCGUAACUUCGGGAGAAGGCACGCUGAUAUGUAGGUGAAGUCCCUCGCGGAUGGAGCUGAAAUCAGUCGAAGAUACCAGCUGGCUGCAACUGUUUAUUAAAAACACAGCACUGUGCAAACACGAAAGUGGACGUAUACGGUGUGACGCCUGCCCGGUGCCGGAAGGUUAAUUGAUGGGGUCAGCGCAAGCGAAGCUCUUGAUCGAAGCCCCGGUAAACGGCGGCCGUAACUAUAACGGUCCUAAGGUAGCGAAAUUCCUUGUCGGGUAAGUUCCGACCUGCACGAAUGGCGUAAUGAUGGCCAGGCUGUCUCCACCCGAGACUCAGUGAAAUUGAACUCGCUGUGAAGAUGCAGUGUACCCGCGGCAAGACGGAAAGACCCCGUGAACCUUUACUAUAGCUUGACACUGAACAUUGAGCCUUGAUGUGUAGGAUAGGUGGGAGGCUUUGAAGUGUGGACGCCAGUCUGCAUGGAGCCGACCUUGAAAUACCACCCUUUAAUGUUUGAUGUUCUAACGUUGACCCGUAAUCCGGGUUGCGGACAGUGUCUGGUGGGUAGUUUGACUGGGGCGGUCUCCUCCUAAAGAGUAACGGAGGAGCACGAAGGUUGGCUAAUCCUGGUCGGACAUCAGGAGGUUAGUGCAAUGGCAUAAGCCAGCUUGACUGCGAGCGUGACGGCGCGAGCAGGUGCGAAAGCAGGUCAUAGUGAUCCGGUGGUUCUGAAUGGAAGGGCCAUCGCUCAACGGAUAAAAGGUACUCCGGGGAUAACAGGCUGAUACCGCCCAAGAGUUCAUAUCGACGGCGGUGUUUGGCACCUCGAUGUCGGCUCAUCACAUCCUGGGGCUGAAGUAGGUCCCAAGGGUAUGGCUGUUCGCCAUUUAAAGUGGUACGCGAGCUGGGUUUAGAACGUCGUGAGACAGUUCGGUCCCUAUCUGCCGUGGGCGCUGGAGAAUUGAGGGGGGCUGCUCCUAGUACGAGAGGACCGGAGUGGACGCAUCACUGGUGUUCGGGUUGUCAUGCCAAUGGCACUGCCCGGUAGCUAAAUGCGGAAGAGAUAAGUGCUGAAAGCAUCUAAGCACGAAACUUGCCCCGAGAUGAGUUCUCCCUGACUCCUUGAGAGUCCUGAAGGAACGUUGAAGACGACGACGUUGAUAGGCCGGGUGUGUAAGCGCAGCGAUGCGUUGAGCUAACCGGUACUAAUGAACCGUGAGGCUUAACCUUACAACGCCGAAG